rnacentral:lncRNA from 1 species
CGGGAAUGAAGAAAGGCAUCCAGGAAGAGAUGGUGAGAAAAUUGUGUCCUGAAAAGAAAGAGGCAGGGUUACAAAAGAAGCGGCUUCCCCGGGAGGCUCCCCAGCAGGCUUCCACCUGUGGUCCUGGGAACUGGGAGAGAAGGAGACCGGGUGCCCCAUCCAUGCAGAGACAGUGAACUAGGGUUGGAGUCCUCACCACUCCAGAUGCUGAAGGUCACCCCUGC